AACGGGUGAGUAACACAUGAGUAAUCUGCCUUUAUUUGGGAUAACUAAGGAAACUUUAGCUAAUACCGGAUAUAUCUUAUGAUUAAUUUGUUUGAAGGAAGGAGCUUUUGCUUCGCUAAUUGAUGAGCUUGUGUCGCAUUAGUUUGUUGGUGAGAUAAAAGCCCACCAAGACUAUGAUGCGUAGCCGGCCUGAGAGGGUGAUCGGCCACAUUGGAACUGAGAUACGGUCCAAACUCCUACGGGAGGCAGCAGUAGGGAAUUUUUGGCAAUGAGGGAAACCUUGACCAGGCAACGCCGCGUGAAAAUGAUGAAGGUCUUAGGAUUGUAAAAUUCUGUUGUAAGGGAAGAAAUGUAAUUAUAGGUAAUGAUAAUUAUUUGACUGUACCUUAUUAGAAAGUCACGGCUAACUACGUGCCAGCCGCCGC
rnacentral:rRNA from 1 species